rnacentral:rRNA from 1 species
AGAGUUUGAUCCUGGCUCAGGAUGAACGCUGGCGGCGUGCUUAACACAUGCAAGUCGAACGGGAAUUACUUUAUUGAAACUUCGGUCGAUUUAAUUUAAUUCUAGUGGCGGACGGGUGAGUAACGCGUGGGUAACCUGCCUUGUACAGGGGGAUAACAGUCAGAAAUGGCUGCUAAUACCGCAUAAGCGCACAGGACCGCAUGGUCCGGUGUGAAAAACUCCGGUGGUAUAAGAUGGACCCGCGUUGGAUUAGCUUGUUGGCAGGGUAACGGCCUACCAAGGCGACGAUCCAUAGCCGGCCUGAGAGGGUGAACGGCCACAUUGGGACUGAGACACGGCCCAGACUCCUACGGGAGGCAGCAGUGGGGAAUAUUGCACAAUGGGGGAAACCCUGAUGCAGCGACGCCGCGUGAAGGAAGAAGGCCUUCGGGUUGUAAACUUCUUUUACCAGGGGCGAAAGAAAUGACGGUACCUGGAGAAAAAGCAACGGCUAACUACGUGCCAGCAGCCGCGGUAAUACGUAGGUUGCGAGCGUUGUCCGGAUUUACUGGGUGUAAAGGGCGUGUAGGCGGAGAUGCAAGUUGGGAGUGAAAUCCAUGGGCUCAACCCAUGAACUGCUUCCAAAACUGUAUCCCUUGAGUAUCGGAGAGGCAAGCGGAAUUCCUAGUGUAGCGGUGAAAUGCGUAGAUAUUAGGAGGAACACCAGUGGCGAAGGCGGCUUGCUGGACGACAACUGACGCUGAGGCGCGAAAGCGUGGGGAGCAAACAGGAUUAGAUACCCUGGUAGUCCACGCUGUAAACGAUGAAUACUAGGUGUGGGAGGACUGACCCCUUCCGUGCCGCAGUUAACACAAUAAGUAUUCCACCUGGGGAGUACGACCGCAAGGUUGAAACUCAAAGGAAUUGACGGGGGCCCGCACAAGCAGUGGAUUAUGUGGUUUAAUUCGACGCAACGCGAAGAACCUUACCAGGACUUGACAUCCAACUAACGAAGUAGAGAUACAUUAGGUGCCCUUCGGGGAAAGUUGAGACAGGUGGUGCAUGGUUGUCGUCAGCUCGUGUCGUGAGAUGUUGGGUUAAGUCCCGCAACGAGCGCAACCCUUACCUUUAGUAGCCAGCAUUACGGAUGGGCACUCUAGAGGGACUGCCAGGGAUAACCUGGAGGAAGGUGGGGAUGACGUCAAAUCAUCAUGCCCCUUAUGAUUUGGGCUACACACGUGCUACAAUGGCGUAAACAAAGAGAAGCGAGCCAGUGAUGGGGAGCAAAUCUCAAAAAUAACGUCUCAGUUCGGAUUGUAGUCUGCAACUCGACUACAUGAAGCUGGAAUCGCUAGUAAUCGCGAAUCAGAAUGUCGCGGUGAAUACGUUCCCGGGUCUUGCACACACCGCCCGUCA